AGCGGAGCAAGUGUGUGCGUGUAUUUCUACAUCUGUUUGUGCACGCAAUGGUGUAUGCGAAACACAGCUGACGAUGCUCUGCCUGCGAGCGUGAGUGCAUGUGUCCUCAAAUAUCUGACAGUUCAGCAGAUGCAAAUUAGUUGUGUGUCUCAUUCAAGGCCAUUCCAGGCAAUAGCUCCACUAACUCGAGGAGGAGGAGGUAAUGAAGGGCAACUCCGCUAUCGAGGCCUAAGGCCCGGCGCUCAGACCUGUUAUUAGCGAACUGAAAGCAAAAAGCGACCCACAAAACCAGACGGGGAGACGAUGAGUCACUAAAGACGAGGGCGUAAGAAAAAGUUUGACGGAAUAACAAGUGUGAGUACGAGUGGCAGUCAGAUUAAACGUCAUCUGCAAACGAAGCAUUGUAUCGACUCGGCUGGAGGAACAGGAGGCUGGGUUCAGCAUCGGGGAGGGUGUCAUCUGAAUUCAUGUAUCAGAUGCUCAUUUACAUGUUCAGGAAUAAAACAGCGAGCAGCAGGAGAAAUACCAGACGCACCGUUUGACUGAUCAGAGCUUUCAACACAGAUUUGCAAACAACAGCAGACAACACACUCUGCCUUGUGUGUCUAAAGUUUUUACCAGUCCUGACCUAUUUUCUUCUCUGGCAUGUUAAAACCGAUUCUGGCUACCCACUUAAUUUUCAAUUUGACCUGGAUUUUCUUUCUUUCUUUCUUUUUAAACCAGCUUCACGUUCUUAGCGCUCACAGCUCCAUUCACAGCUCAAGUUUCUCCAGCUGUCCGCUCGGCAAACAGAAGGCACUCUUUCAUAACCUAUUAGUGGCAAAUGCUUCCCCAUAAUCCCUCUCAGAAUGCAUGACUAAGUGUUGGAGCGGGCCUGGCAGCUAACGGCAUAAUUAGGAGCCUAUAAUUAUUAUGUUGGAGGCAGAACAGGAAGCGCUAUCAACACGGGGAUGAUAACGGAUGAACGUGAGGAUAUCAUCAAGACAGAUGAUCGGACCGCUCGUUCAGUCAUCGCUCUGAAAAGCAGCUGAAUGUGUGUCCGUCUCUUUCACUCAGUGAGCUGAUUUGUUGCCAUAGAGAAGGGUUUCUGCAAAACGGCUGGGGAUUUCAUUUGAUUGACAAAACCAUAUGGGGAUGGAAAUAACCAAAACAUAUGGCAUAGUGUCCUCGUAUUGUAAACAUCGUUAUAAAACCAAAAAAAACUCCUCAAAAAACAGUGGUGUGGCAGAUUCCUGGGAAAAAUUGUUAACUGAGCCAGCUCGGUGUUAGACGAGGUGUCAGAUUUUAUCAGCUGUGGCUGACAGGGGUCAGCAGGCCAGGCUGCAAACUGCAGGGGAGAGAUGCUGCUGCAGCGACAAGAUGGAGACAGGAGGAAGGAGGAGGAAAAAUGAGACGCUGACACAGGAGCAAAGUCACUCUACAGGAGAGAAGCUGACGGAUGGAGCCCGGGUCAUUAAACAUGAAGAGCUGCGUUUUGUCAGCUCACAAAAGACAGCAAGAAAAAAAAACAUCCUUCAGUAGGAACUGUGAGAAACGAAAUGGGGAAGAAGUAGAGCUGUACUCAUGGUCUGUACGGACUCUUUAAAAACGUGUCUGCUGAACAAAUGUAGGUUAAGGACACAUGCUGUGUGACUAAGCCAAGACGGCGUGCGCAUGCCUACUCAUGCGCGAGUGACUGAAUAGGGAGGAAAAUGUGCCCGGCUGUGUUUCUACUCAAUCUUCUCCUCAUUCCUGCGCGCUGCUGUAUGACACUGACAUCCAAAAACACAGUCUGUGUGUGUCUUCUGAAAGCCGUGCCUCCAGGAGCAACAAGCAUGGUGACGAAAGCGACGCCUGAGCCCGGUCUCGCCAUGGAGACCCAGUGACCGGGCGGGACAAAAGGGUGAAGGGGGCGGGGGGGCUAAAACCUCUAUUGGUGAAAACAAGAGGGGGGAUAAUUACUCUGAAUAAUUCUCAGCUGGCAGGACUCGCCCACCCACUACUGAAAGGAAAAAUAAAUUAACCCUCUCUCGUCAGUGGGGGAGGGGUGGACGAAUGAACUCCAGAAAUGUCCCUGAUACAGUACAUAUGGAAUACCCCACCCCCACCCCUUACACUCCACAUUCACUACCAAGCACGCAAAGUAGCGUACACAUGAGUGGGUGCACAGUCAAGAUUAAUGCCAGAAGACGUCUACUUUAAAGCUGCACGAGCUUGUUAAAACUAUAUAUGACUGGAAAUAUGACAACAGCCACCAUAGCGUGGUCUGAUCCACUUAAAGUGAGCCGGACAGCCAAACCGCACAUACUGAUGCAGAGGUAAACGUGUUGAUAUGCACAGACAGACGUAGCAUCCAAAAGUGGUUAGGGAUGAUUUAUUAUUGCAGUUUGAGCAUCUGGUUGAGAAAACUGUGCACUAAGCUCUUAAAUAACCCUGUUUCUUGUUCAUAGAUGUUUGUUAUCUGAAGCUAUGCCUGAGGAAUCCACUUAUGUGAUUUCUUAUCAAGCUGACUCAGGCUAUUACCAUUUUUACAGGAAUGAUAAUGUGCGGUGCAUUAAUAACUUCAUAACCAGCAUCUCAGCUGUGUGCCGGUUUCUUAGCUUGUCUGUAAAAAGUGCUUAAUAUGAUGCUCCAACAUAAACCACUGAGAAUCCAUUCAUUCAUUGUCAUCCAUGCAUCAAACUGAGUGAAAGGGGACACCGUGGACAGGUCGCCUAUCUGUCACAGGGCCAACACACAGAGAUAAUCACGCACACGCUCUCAUUCACACCUACAGUCAAUUUAAAAAUCACCAAUUAGCUUAGCCAAAUGCAUGUGUUUGGACUGUAGGAGGAAGCCAGAGUGCCUGCAGAGAAACCACACAGACCCGGGUGAACAUGCAAACUCCUCACAGAAAAGGCCACGCACAGAAGCCCACAGAAAAGUUUUUAUUGACUGAACAGCGCCCCCAGUGGCAGUCAACAACAGAAAGCCAAUACUCUUAUAAUGACUCCUGUAACAUUCUUAACUUUACAUUGAAAUCACGUGUUUACAGACUGGUACCAACAAGUCUGUGCCCCAGUUUUUGUGAGCUAAAUUCAGGUCUUUAAUUGGUCCGUUGCUCAACACUCUAUGGCAGUUUAGAUGUAGCUUGCUAACUUAGCUUGGUACCAUUAGCAUUAGCAUUAUUUGUAUACGGCACAAAAGCAAAGCGGUGUUUAUUACGAUCGAUGUGGGUCAUGAACCGGGCCCAGACUCUGCAGCGUCAGCGAUCACGUCAAAGAACGGGCACAUUUGUGUGAGCCCGACUGCUAUCUACACCGAUCAAAAAGCAGUGGUUUCUUCACAGCCACCCUCCCACUGAAGCCAUUCCUGAUGUGGCUGCAGUCAACGGUAGAUGGACCAACACUAAAGGGCCAGAAUGAUCCCUCAUGUCCUGAAACAACACGACUUUCAGAUGCUGCAGAUAUUUUUAGGUGGUUGGCGCUGACAGGCAGGUAGGCGGGAAAAGACACAGCGAGGUAGAAAGGAUGGUCAAACAAGACUUCCAUUCUGGUGAGCCGGCGCCUCGGAAACGAGCUCUACCAUGAAAGUUCCCCAUGAUUUAUUGCACAAAGGGUUGUAACAACUCCUCGUCUGUAUAAGCAAAUGGUCUCCAGCAAUUCUCCUGUGGGACUGAGAAUUUGUUCCAUCUGUGCAAAACUGGGAUAAAAGGUAGCAGAUGGGCUGGAAACACCAGCGGAGUCAUCCUCGCCAUCCACCUCAGACAAUCUAUACUCGCAGACAGCCUUCCGCCUCCAUGCCAAGCCUACAGCUGGGGUGCGAGGUAGCGUGCCAGCUUCCAUCACACCGAACCUCCUCUGCGCAGCAAUGUUACGAGCUUUGGUGGAGGCACGCGGUGGAUGGUUUCAUUUGAGAUGCUCGCUGACAAAAAAGGCAAGUUUUUAUAGUUUAGAACCACGCAGAGGGAACGACUUCCGGAAAAAGUCCCGGCAGAUGCGGCACAGACAGAUAAGGCGUUUUCACAUUCCACGGAGUGACAGACGUGAGAGAGAGGUGGGUAGAGUGAGGCGCGCGAGUCUGCCAAGUUUACUGUACUGAACAAACAGAGAAGAUGCCGUGACCUACAUCUAUCAAACGCGCUCCAAUCCUGCUUCUCUAAACUGGCGCAGAAGAGCAGACUUCAAGGGCACACGUGCACAAACAGUAUAAACACAGUCAUACACACAAAGCAUCACAACUGCCAUCCCGGUUCUUGUCUUUUACCUUCACUUUACUCACUCAGGAACCCAAAUUUCACUGAAGUUGUAUCAGUCUGGCCAGAUCGACACAGAUAAUUUAGGUCACGCUUUUCAGCGAGUCACAAGAGGGCUGCAGAAAAGAGGAAUGCUCGGAUAUACGCUGUGUGGCAUUUGGGAUAGAUAAGCAGGGUAAAUGCUAUCCAAACUCAGACUGAGGGCCCUUCAAAGAGAGAGCAGUUGAAAGGGAGAGUUGCAGAUAAAAGGCAAACAGAGAGUGAGACUGAGGAACACAGGACGGGACUGUUCUUAUGACAAAAAAACAUUCAACACAAAGACUGCUGCGACUAGCAAUGUGCCAUCAGAAGCAGUGAGAAGGAACGUCACACGGUAGCAAACCUGCAAGUAAACAACGCAGCAUUGUCUUUUACUCAAGAUGCAAUUAGUCGUGGUAGAAAUAGAAGUUUGUCUACCUUUAAAAAAAUAAAAUAAUCAGAGUUUUAACAAACCAAUAUAUCCAUUAACGAUGCAUUUGUGUGUUAUUUUGGUUUAGACCGCUUGUUUGAACAAAAAACUAUAUUUUAUACUCAAGUUUUCAUUUUAAAACUUGCUCAUCAAUAAAAGU